UACGGAGGGGGCUAGCGUUGUUCGGAAUUACUGGGCGUAAAGCGCACGUAGGCGGAUUUGUAAGUCAGGGGUGAAAUCCCGGGGCUCGACCUCGGAACUGCCUUUGAUACUGCAAAUCUCGAGUCCGGAAGAGGUGAGUGGAAUUCCUAGUGUAGAGGUGAAAUUCGUAGAUAUUAGGAAGAACACCAGUGGCGAAGGCGGCUCACUGGUCCGGUACUGACGCUGAGGUGCGAAAGCGUGGGGAGCAAACAGG
rnacentral:rRNA from 1 species